rnacentral:miRNA from 1 species
CUACUCGGUGAGUAAGGAUAGC